AUUGAACGCUGGCGGCAGGCCUAACACAUGCAAGUCGAGCGGAUGAAGGGAGCUUUCUCCUGGAUUCAGCGGCGGACGGGUGAGUAAUGCCUAGGAAUCUGCCUUGUAGUUGGGGAUAACGUCCGGAAACGGGCGCUAAUACCGCAUACGUCCUGAUUGAGAAAGUGGUGGAUCUUCGGACCUCACGCUAUCAGAUGAGCCUAGGUCGGAUUAGCUAGUUGGUGGGGUAAAGGCCUACCAAGGCGACGAUCCGUAACUGGUCUGAGAGGAUGAUCAGUCACACUGGAACUGAGACACGGUCCAGACUCCUACGGGAGGCAGCAGUGGGGAAUAUUGGACAAAGGGCGAAAGCCUGAUCCAGCCAUGCCGCGUGUGUGAAGAAGGUCUUCGGAUUGUAAAGCACUUUAAGUUGGGAGGAAGGGAAGUAAGUUAAUACCUGGCUGUUUUGACGGUACCAACAGAAUAAGCAACGGCUAACUUCGUG
rnacentral:rRNA from 1 species